rnacentral:rRNA from 1 species
AAACAUGUCUUUUUGCUUUGUAGAGGGUCAGACCUGCACACUGAGAAAUUAAAGAGCUGCAGUAUUCUAACUGUGCUAAGGUAGCAUAAUAAUUUGUUUUUUAAUUAAGAACUUGAAUGAAAGGUUUGAUGUUUAUAGACUGUCUUUCCUUAAAUGGUGAAAUUAAUUUUCAGUUAAAACUCUGAAAUGACCUUGUGGGACGAUAAGACCCUGUAAAAUUUAUAUUGUAUUUUAGUAGGUUAGGUAUAUUAAAUUUAUAACAAUUUAACUGGGGCGGUUUACACAUAUAAGUUAUCUGUAGUUUAAUAUAAACAUAUUAUAAAUGGUUUUAUUGACCCUGAAAAGAUUAAUAGAUCUAAUUACUUAAGGGAUAACAGCGUAAUUUUCUUUAGAGUUCUUAUCGAAGAGAAAGUUUGCGACCUCGAUGUUGAAUUAAGACACCUUUACUAGUGCAAAAGC